CGCAGAGACAAGGAAAAGUGAAUGCGUAAACAAGAACUGAAAGACACUCUUUCCCUUUUCCCUCCGCCUUAGUCCCUGUUUCACAUCAAAGACUGAGACAAGCUGAUCAUCCUUCCUCAUCUGGGCAUACAGUGUGAAUAAAGAGUUGGAGUUACUUUCCCAUGUCUACAUCCAGAUUACUGGUACAGUACAGCAGGAUGAUGCCUUAUGCAACAGCUUUUGCAUAUCAAAACGGUUAAUUAUCUUAUGAUGGAAUGAUUGACAGCUUCAUCAGUGCCC